CAAAUCACGUAGGACUACCCGCUGAACUUAAGCAUAUCAAUAAGCGGAGGAAAAGAAACUAACAAGGAUUCCCCUAGUAACUGCGAGUGAAGCGGGAAAAGCUCAAAUUUAAAAUCUGGCGGUCAUGCGACGCCCGAGUUGUAAUCUAGAGAAGUGUUGUCCGCGCUGGACCGUGUAAAAGUCUCCUGGAAUGGAGCGUCAUAGAGGGUGAGAAUCCCGUCUUUGACACGGACUACUGGGGCAUUGCGACGCGCUCUCAAAGAGUCGAGUUGUUUGGGAAUGCAGCUCAAAAUGGGUGGUAAAUUCCAUCUAAAGCUAAAUAUUGGCGAGAGACCGAUAGCGAACAAGUACCGUGAGGGAAAGAUGAAAAGAACUUUGGAAAGAGAGUUAAACAGUACGUGAAAUUGCUGAAAGGGAAACGCUUCAAGUCAGUCGCGUCGGGCAGAAAUCAGCCUUUGGAAUAUAACAUUCACUGGUGUAUUUUCUGCCAGAUGGGUCAGCAUCAAUUUUGACCAUUGGAUAAGAACAAAAGGAAUGUGGCAUUUCUUUGGAAAUGUGUUAUAGCCUGUUGGAGAUACAGUGGUUGGGAUUGAGGAAUUCAGCACAUGGCUUGGACUUUUGGCCUACCUUGUGUUCAGGAUGCUGGCAUAAUGGCUUGAAUCGACCCGUCUUGAAACACGGACC
rnacentral:rRNA from 1 species